rnacentral:snoRNA from 1 species
UGCCAGUGAGGACACCCCUGUUCUAACCCCAGAGCCAGUAAUGGUGAACCCACUGGGGUAACUGGGAGAGAAGAUGAGAACUUGUUCCCUAAGGAACUGUCUGAGGUAC